rnacentral:rRNA from 1 species
CCUACGGGAGGCAGCAGUGGGGAAUUUUGGACAAUGGGCGCAAGCCUGAUCCAGCAAUGCCGCGUGCAGGAAGAAGGCCUUCGGGUUGUAAACUGCUUUUGUACGGAGCGAAAAGGCUCUCUCUAAUACAGGGGGCUCAUGACGGUACCGUAAGAAUAAGCACCGGCUAACUACGUGCCAGCAGCCGCGGUAAUACGUAGGGUGCAAGCGUUAAUCGGAAUUACUGGGCGUAAAGCGUGCGCAGGCGGUUUUGUAAGACAGGCGUGAAAUCCCCGGGCUCAACCUGGGAAUGGCGCUUGUGACUGCAAAGCUGGAGUGCGGCAGAGGGGGAUGGAAUUCCGCGUGUAGCAGUGAAAUGCGUAGAUAUGCGGAGGAACACCGAUGGCGAAGGCAAUCCCCUGGGCCUGCACUGACGCUCAUGCACGAAAGCGUGGGGAGCAAACAGGAUUAGAUACCCCGGUAGUC